AAGUCGAACGGGCCCGCAAGGGUCAGUGGCGCACGGGUGCGUAACACGUGAAGAACGUAGCCAUCGGCGGGGGAUAGCCGGCCCAACGGCCGGGUAAUACCGCGUACGACCUUCGGGUGGCAUCACCUGGGGGUGAAAGCAGCAAUGCACCGAUGGGGCGCUUCGCGGCCUAUCAGCUAGUUGGUGAGGUCACGGCUCACCAAGGCUACGACGGGUAGCUGGUCCGAGAGGAUGACCAGCCACAUUGGGACUGAGACACGGCCCAGACUCCUACGGGAGGCAGCAGUGGGGAAUAUUGCGCAAUGGGGGCAACCCUGACGCAGCGACGCCGCGUGUGGGAUGACGGUCUUCGGAUUGUAAACCACUGUCGCGAGGGACGAAAAUCUGACGGUACCUCGAAAGGAAGCACCGGCUAACUCUGUGCCAGCAGCCGCGGUAAUACAGAGGGUGCGAGCGUUGUCCGGAAUCACUGGGCGUAAAGGGCGCGUAGGCGGCUUGGUAAGUAGGGGGUGAAAUCUCAUGGCUCAACUGUGAGGCUGCCUUCUAGACUGCUAGGCUCGAGCACAGUAGAGGCGAGUGGAAUUCGCGGUGUAGCGGUGGAAUGCGUAGAGAUC
rnacentral:rRNA from 1 species